rnacentral:rRNA from 1 species
UGUAACGCUGGCGGCAUGCCUUACACAUAGCCAAGUCGAACGGCAGCACGGGAGACAAUCCUGGUGGCGAGUGGCGAACGGGUGAGUAAUAUAUCGGAACGUGCCCAGUCGUGGGGGGAUAACGUAGUCGAAAGCUACGCUAAUACCGCAUACGUAUCUACGGAUGAAAGCGGGGGAUCGCAAGACCUCGCGCGAUUGGAGCGGCCGAUAUCAGAUUAGCUAGUUGGUGGGGUAAAAGCUCACCAAGGCGACGAUCUGUAGCUGGUCUGAGAGGACGACCAGCCACACUGGAACUGAGACACGGUCCAGACUCCUACGGGAGGCAGCAGUGGGGAAUUUUGGACAAUGGGCGCAAGCCUGAUCCAGCAAUGCCGCGUGCAGGAUGAAGGCCUUCGGGUUGUAAACUGCUUUUGUACGGAACGAAACGGUGAGCUCUAAUAAAGCUUGCUAAUGACGGUACCGUAAGAAUAAGCACCGGCUAACUACGUG